rnacentral:lncRNA from 1 species
UUGUUUGUUUCAGUUCUACCAUCUCAAAGUAGCCAUUUCCAGCAAGGAACCUUCACCAACUUUCAGCAUUCUGAAGGUUAAACUCAAGCCCCCUCAAAAGUCGUAUCUGCUAUAUUUCAUGGAGACAUAACUUCAUGGCAUUGCAAUAAUUUAAAGACGUUAUUUGCUUGUUUUUGCUGUCUUAAAAACUUAGCUUUAUCAGCUCCUUUUAGAAACUUGAUCAACUUGGAGACUCCCUUUCCUAGAAUCAGCGCUUAGUGACACACCUGGUCAUCCUGUAUCCCAGCCAUUGGACCUCAGAACCACUACUUGAUGUGAUAGUCAAUGAAUGGAAGUCAGGUGCAAUCAGAAGGGGAACUGUCUGCAUCAGGAUUUUUCUACCAAUUUGCCCAGAAAAUAAUCUCUUCAUUAUUCAUUUCAUGGGCCAGGUAAGAAGGGAAUUGUUGAAAGGAGAUUUAGCUUAAUGGAUGAA